AACUUUCGGCAACGGAUCACUUGGCUCUCGCAUCGUUGAAGAACGCAGCGAAAUGCGAUAAGUAAUGUGAAUUGCAGAAUUCAGUGAAUCAUCGAAUCUUUGAACGCACCUUGCACCCUUUGGCAUUCCGAAGGGUAUGCUCGUUUGAGUGUCAUUGUACUCUCACACUCCCGAUGCUUUUGGAUUGGGAGUGGUGGACUUGGGUGUUGCUGCUUUACUGUGGCUCACCUCAAAUGGAGUAGUGCAACUCUUGGUUGGACAUAGUACGGCGUGAUAAGUGUCUUCGCCGGCGCCUCAUUAGAGGGUGGCCGAUCGGGAGCUCUGUGCUUCAAACCGUCUUCGGACAACAUCUGACAACUUGACCUCAAAUCGAGUAGGACUACCCGCUGAACUUAAGCAUAUCAAUAAGCGGAGGC
rnacentral:misc_RNA from 1 species